UACGGGGGGGGCAAGCGUUGUUCGGAAUUACUGGGCGUAAAGGGCGCGUAGGCGGGAUGGCAAGUCGGUCGUGAAAUCCCUCGGCUCAACCGAGGAACGUCGAUCGAUACUGCUGUUCUUGAGGAUUGCAGAGGAGACUGGAAUUCCCGGUGUAGAGGUGAAAUUCGUAGAUAUCGGGAGGAACACCAGUGGCGAAGGCGGCGAUCUGGGAAGAUACUGACGCUGAGGUGCGAAAAGCGUGGGGGAGCAAACAGG
rnacentral:rRNA from 1 species